rnacentral:tRNA from 1 species
UGCGGGAUGGAGCAGUCCGGUAGCUCGUCGGGCUCAUAACCCGAAGGUCGCAGGUUCAAAUCCUGCUCCCGCUACCA